AUGCUUGCUUCAGCAGCACAUAUACGAAAAAAUUGGAACGAUACAGAGAAGAUUAGCAUAGCCCCUGUGCAAGGAUGACAUGCAAAUUCGUGAAGCAUUCCAUAUUUUU
ensembl:snRNA U6 U6 spliceosomal RNA